AUGUCACAAGAAGUCCGCAGUUACCCUGUUUCCUGGCUGUGCCGGAAGUGGGUUAAGGAAGAUACACGUUGACUGAUCGACCUGUGCUGACUGCAGAGUUCACGGAACGUCUAAAAAAAAUCUUCCUCAAAGUUUAACAGGUCUGAACAGAGUCCUGUACAGACGACUGAUAAGCACCCAUGGAACACAUCGCAUAAAUCAGGUUAAGCUUGGUGGUAAAGUGAGGCAAGUCAACACUUUCAGUUCCUGCCUGGCUGCUUUACAGGGUCAGAGCUGAAAAACUGCCUAAAUAACAAAUUUCGUAAGAAUCUUGGUUUUCUGUCUGCGGUUUCCACUGACACUUGUGAUAAAGUCUUAAAAAGAGAUGAUUUGGACAUUUACCAAACAACCCCGAAACUCAGGACUGAAGUUAUUGGUGGGGAGCUGUACCUUCCUGAAGCCCAACACUCACAGGGACGAUUAGAAGCAUACAGAAGUUGGAAGAACAGCCACCCUUUGCAUUUUUUGGUUAAGGAUGAGCUGAUCAGAGCUCACCUAGCAAGUGUUAUAACAGACUACAUUAAAGAAAACCAGCUAAUGGAGCACCACAAGAGCUGCACCCAAACACCUCAUUUUAGACUCGCUGCCCCCUAAAGACAGGAAGAAGAACUAACAGUGGAGGUCCACAAGGCAACAGGUCUGUGGGGGGGAUGGUUUCACACAAACUGAUGGUUUUGUAAAGAUCAUUUAUGGCAACCAGUGUGAGGAAACUCCAGUAGAGCAGUCCAAUAACCCAGUCUGGAAUAAAACAAUUGAGCUAG